GAAAAAUCCUAGGCGAAGGGAUUUUUUCAGAAAAUGUGAAUGCCACACCCAGGAAUGCUCCUGGGUGAUGGAGGAGGCCAGCGCUGAUGGAAGAGCAGGCAAGGACACCACAGAGCUCCAUGCUGCCUGAAGAAGAGCCUGCCUUGGCCCCAGGGCAAGGGAAGGAGCUUGGUUCUUGCAUCUUCCCACAAGGACAACCUGGGAGAUGAACAAACCUGGUGCUGGACACGCUCCCUCUGCGAAGCCACCUGCAGUGAGCUGGGAAGUGCUCAGCACACAGAGCCUGUCUUUGGCUCCCAGGGAGUUCAAUUUGACUCUGGGUUAACUGCAGUUCCCUUGCAAAGCUGUCUGUCACCUCUCAGCCUCUUCCUUGCUCACUCGAGAAAAUAACAGCUCCCACACUCUGAAAAAUCCCACAUAAUUGGUACAGCCUCCACAGAGUGCCUCUCAGCCAGCAGCAGGACCAUUUGGAGCUCGAAAGGUGGCCCUGUCUUUUCAGAAGGGUCAUGGGUUGACAACCUUGUUUAUUUUCCUCCGUGUCUGUCCAAGGAAAAAAAACACAAACCAACCAAAAAACACCAGCCCAGCUCCUCCAAGUCGAGCCUGGCAGCACCAAUUUGGGGCACAGCUGGAGGAAGGGGACAGGUUUCCAUCCCACUGAGGCUGUGUAAAAGCCUCAGACUUAGCCUUGACCAUCUGGUCAUCUACCAGUCCUCAGCUUUCCUUUUUUUGCCCCACACCUUGGUAGGAUGAAGGAUUCUGACACUGAAGCACAGAGAUCUGGAAAAUGUGGAGCCAGUUCCAGUCAUCCUGCACAUCUUUGGCCCUCUCUCCAACCCCAUUUGAGCACAGAGAGCUGCCACAUCAUCAAUUUGGUGUGGAUUUGGGUAUCCUGAGCACCAAACCCCAUUUGUUUUGCUGUUUCACCCCCUGGCUUGGCCAGGUCCUCA